UACGGAGGGUGCAAGCGUUAUCCGGAUUUACUGGGUUUAAAGGGUGCGUAGGCGGUUCGUUAAGUCUGUCGUGAAAUCCCCGGGCUCAACCUGGGAAUGGCGAUGGAUACUGGCGAGCUAGAGUGUGUCAGAGGAUGGUGGAAUUCCCGGUGUAGCGGUGAAAUGCGUAGAGAUCGGGAGGAACAUCAGUGGCGAAGGCGGCCAUCUGGGACAACACUGACGCUGAAGCACGAAAGCGUGGGGAGCAAACAGG
rnacentral:rRNA from 1 species